AUGGUUGAGGAGUGUAGGAAAAGGUCGGAGAAUCUUAAAUCUUCCCCUAUGGGUACAAGCAACCCAAAGAGAUAUCAUGAGGAUUUCAUCCUCAAAGGGAAAAAAAUGUUAGUUGAGGAGUCUGCUAUGGAUUCUCCAUAUGCCAAGGCUCAAAGAUUUGAAAAAGGUCCCCCUUCUAUCAUCGUCAAGACGGCAGUGGCGACGCACUCUGCAAAAAGGGCUCCUUUGGAUCCCACGUCAUGA